rnacentral:rRNA from 1 species
GGGAAACUGCCUGAUGGAGGGGGAUAACUACUGGAAACGGUAGCUAAUACCGCAUAACGUCGCAAGACCAAAGAGGGGGACCUUCGGGCCUCUUGCCAUCAGAUGUGCCCAGAUGGGAUUAGCUAGUAGGUGGGGUAACGGCUCACCUAGGCGACGAUCCCUAGCUGGUCUGAGAGGAUGACCAGCCACACUGGAACUGAGACACGGUCCAG